rnacentral:rRNA from 1 species
GAUGAACGCUGGCGGCGUGCCUAAUACAUGCAAGUCGAGCGAACAGACGAGGAGCUUGCUCCUCUGACGUUAGCGGCGGACGGGUGAGUAACACGUGGAUAACCUACCUAUAAGACUGGGAUAACUUCGGGAAACCGGAGCUAAUACCGGAUAAUAUAUUGAACCGCAUGGUUCAAUAGUGAAAGACGGUUUUGCUGUCACUUAUAGAUGGAUCCGCGCCGCAUUAGCUAGUUGGUAGGGUAACGGCUUACCAAGGCGACGAUGCGUAGCCGACCUGAGAGAGUGAUCGGCCACACUGGAACUGAGACACGGUCCAGACUCCUACGGGAGGCAGCAGUAGGGAAUCUUCCGCAAUGGGCGAAAGCCUGACGGAGCAACGCCGCGUGAGUGAUGAAGGUCUUCGGAUCGUAAAACUCUGUUAUUAGGGAAGAACAAAUGUGUAAGUAACUAUGCACGUCUUGACGGUACCUAAUCAGAAAGCCACGGCUAACUACGUG